rnacentral:rRNA from 1 species
GACGAACGCUGGCGGCGUGCCUAAUACAUGCAAGUCGAAGCUAGUGGCGAACGGGUGAGUAACGCGUAGGAACCUUCCUCAUAGCGGGGGAUAACUGUUGGAAACGAUAGCUAAUACCGCAUACUGUGAGAUGGACCUGAGUUGUAUUAUCUAGUUGGUGGGGUAAAGGCUCACCAAGGCGACGAUGCAUAGCCGGCCUGAGAGGGUGAGCGGCCACACUGGGACUGAGACACGGCCCAGACUCCUACGGGAGGCAGCAGUGGGGAAUUUUGGACAAUGGGCGAAACCCUGAUCCAGCCAUGCCGCGUGUGCGAAGAAGGCCUUCGGGUUGUAAAGCACUUUUGGCAGGAAAGCGGUACCUGCAGAAUAAGCACCGGCUAACUACGUGCCAGCAGCCGCGGUAAUUC